UGUCGAAUUGUUGGAUAAACAAACUAUGGUAUAUACAUCCUUGGUGAACUUAGUUAUGUAUAUGUACAUUUGUGAGUGUUGAAUAAUGUCGCCAUGUUGUGGAUUUGGUGUUGACUUGCCUAAUUUCUGUAGUAUUAUAUGGUUCAUGCAGGCAAAUAUUUAAAGUAAGGGCGAUGGCUCUAUUAUAUUGGAGUGUAAAUUAUUUGAGUAAUGUAUAUUUAUAUAUCUGUUGCCCCUGCUCCUCUUGUAGCAACACGAGCCACAUUGAAGCCUAUGGCCAAGAAAGUUCUUAUCAAGUCUGCCGCUCGCCUUGAGCAGCGCACGAAGAACGCUACCGACUUCGAUGAGCAUAGAUGUCGUUAGAGGAUGAUGUCGGUGGCUCUGCCCUCAAGAUCUGUAGGAAGGUCAUCAACAAGCUCACCUCUAUGCUCAACCAUUGCCUCAAGCUGAUUUCAGUGCCUUGAGCUUUUCUUGCAUUUGUGAAUGGUGUAACAUCUGCGGGAUGAUAUCAACAAGUUCAACGUCAAAAAUGAGCUCCACAUUGUAGAGCGUUUACUACAUCAUGGUCAUAUACAAGUAUUAGAUGGCAUCAUAUGUAACUACAACCUUCCUCUUUAGCAUGUCUUUUAUUUUGCGGGUAUCAUGUCUUUUAUUUGGCAGGUAGCAUUUAUGUUGAAGACGAUUCUUUAAUCCUUUCUGAGGUGAAAUACAAGCAUGUAGCCUACCUCCCUUAAUUAUUGUAUGAUGGAGUUUUUGUUGAUACAAAGCAAUAUUCAUGUGAGGCCUCACUAAUGUAAACUAAAGAAGAACUAUUUAGUAGGCAUAUUUCAUUUCUUAAUGGGCGAGUAUUUUACAAGUCACGAUGCUUAGUUUAUGUCUGACCAUACUGUGAACACAUAAUAGCAUUUAGUAGCGGGGUGAGGUGGUGGGCGCAGUCGCAGGCGCAUGGCAGAGAGAGGCAGAGAUGGGAUUGGAUGUGAUGGCUGAUAAUGCUGAUGCAGUUGCUGUCCAUUUUGAGAUGAAGAAGCGUUGUUAAUGUCAUUUUAUAAAAUAUAGAAAAUUUGGAUAUAUCAGUUAAAAUAAAAAAUAUGGUGAUGCUGAGUACAAAAAAAUUUAGCGGGGAAUCUUUAUGGAGUCCUCUAUUCUUCUUGUAUCCCCCAACUCUACCCAUGCAACACGCUGGACAUCCAUGUCUAUCCCCUCUGGCGGCUACAAGGAGUAAGAGAGAGUGAGAUGAAGGGUGAGCGGAGGAAGGGAGAGAUGGAGAUAUAUAGAGAGAGGAAGAGCGGAGAGAGGGGAGGUUUACAUGACAUUGUUGUUGAGUUACUCAAAUAUAUAUAUGCAUUAUAGCCCGUAGCAACGCACAGGCGUUCUACUAGUUGAUAUAAAACAUGAGUUGAAGAGCCAGAAAGUCCGAUUAGAAGUAAGUUAGAAGUUUUUUUCAUUAUUUUAUUUGAAGGAAUAAAAUUAUUUUUGAGGAAUCAGAAAAUCAGACUAUAGUCUUGAUUUCUUGGAUUGCACAUGUUAUGCCAUUUAAUUUAUGAAUUACUUUUCAUUGGAGGAAUUUUGUUUGUGCAGAUAAAGCACAUGGGGCAACCGAUCAGUGUCCACACUAAUGAGAUCACAUCAUUCUUCCGAUAUAUACUCUGCAGUACUACUAUUUUAUGGGUUUCCUACAUAAUAGAAAAUGUAAGAGACAACAUUAUAAAUAUUAAAAAUUUCCAUCAUAUUGGAAAACAAAAAAUAUCCCUGUGAUCGAACAAAAUUCAGAUCAAUCUUGCACCUCCAUAAGUCUUUUUUUUAAUUUAAAUCAAGUUGAGUUUGUAUUGCAUCUUACUGUUUCUAAUAAACAGUACGAACAAGGGAGGGCAUAGCCAUAUUUGCAUAUUCCAAGACAACGAGAUUUAUAUAGGAAAUUAUUUAAUCUUUCAGAUAUAACCUCUAAACAGACAGGAAAGGAGUAUCAAUAUUAAAAGUGCUAGCCCGUGCAGAUGCAUGGGUUGAUGACUAGUAUUUACUAAUUGGAGGCACCACACGCGACUCCACGUUAAUCAUAGAAAAACUGUUUAAUUAACCGUCGGAUCUGUAAUUUAAAAAUUUUUAGCUGUUGGAUGUACGUAAUACACAGACAGAGUCCCGAACGACCACAUCACAGUUCUGUUAAAAAAAUAGUGUUUCUCUUCCCCACGUACAAAAAGUGUCCCCAGAUGAGAGAAAUAGAGUCCCCAACUCCCGCGUCUAUGUUCUAAUAAAAUAAAAAUAAUGUGACAAACAAGGACAUGUACAAAUACAAGGACAUCAGGGCAUUAAAAAAACCACACCAGCCUCACGUCCCCCACUAAAAGAAGAGUCUCCAACAUGCAUGUCUAACUUCUAUGAAAAUAAAAGGAAUGUGCCAAACAAAUACGUGUACAGAUAUGAAGAUCUCACACAAGUGAAUAAAAAGUUGCCAGGCCUCUCAUUAAAAAGAGUCGACAUCUCAAUCCCCAGAAAAUGAAAAUUCAUGCACGUACAAAAAAGUUGGACCUCAAGCCUCAUGGUCAGAAAAGAGAGUUUAUGCCAGAUUUUGAAAAAAGAUAUGUAGCGGUCGGAUAUUUUGUCGGCGCCAUAGAGUAUACUCAGAGCCGUACUCAGAGAUCAUAUGCUGGCCAAUCUGUGGCGCAACCAACAUUGACCACAAAGUCUAAGUCCUUGGGCAGUAAUCUACAUGUCUUUGAUAAUUGAUCUCCUGAUCUCUACUUCCGCUUGGUCCCUCUGCUCCUCUCUUUUACGUGUGUUAUCCUCCAGUUUCCACUUGAUAAAAGUGAGGAAUAGCUUGCAGAUCAAAGGAACCAAAUUAACUGA